rnacentral:sRNA from 4 species
ACCCCGGUUCCGAGCGCGCCGUCCACGCCCACCUGACGACUGCUUGCUGCGUGUCAGCC